GUUCUUCCAUACUGUACAAAUACAACAGCAGGCGCAGAGAGAUGCUGCAAUUGCUCGGUUAGAACAAAGCAGGAUUGUUUUUGCAAUGAGAUUAACUGAGCACCAUGGUAAGAAGUACAAAGUCAUUGAAGAAGCUCUAGCUUUUGUUAGGGAUGUAGAUGAUGCAAGUCGCUUUGUUUCUCCUGAAAAUAUUUAUGGUGCGUCUCAAUGUCCAUCUGGUGAGUAUCUUGUCAGGCAUGAAGAGAAGGGGUCUAACAUUGCAAUCAAAGUUCUCAUUUCAAGUUUUGAUUUUGUGAGGAAAUCCCUUAAAUUGGAUCAUAUGGGUGGGUUGCUGGGCAAUGCUGCUUUAUUUGCAGUUAGCAUGAUUGCAUUGCUCUAUCUGCAUCCAGUAGCUUACAAGAAGCACCCAUAUAAGCAAGAAGAACUCAUCUACAACAAUAGAAAUUUGAGGAAAGCUCCUCAGGUUGAAAGAUCUUCAUCCAGUGUUAAAUUGGAUCACUUGGAUGUGAUGAUGGCCAGGGGUUGAAAUUUACAAGCUUGAAAAUUUUCAGUUGUUUGCUAAAAAUGGGAGGCCAUGAUGUUCUUGUUAAUCUAGAAGUUUGGUUAUUUUUUGAUUUCUUCCCACGAAAUUCUUAGAGCUUGCAAGAUUCUUAGCAACUUUAGCAUGAUUUGAUACCAAUUUUAGAUUGCCACGCAGAUUCUUGUUGAGUAGAAAUGAAUUUGAGGUGCCAAUGGCAAUAUUCGGCUUGUGGUUGUUGAUAAGCUUUCUUUUCCCUAAGAAAUUCAUUAUGUACUCCC
rnacentral:misc_RNA from 1 species